rnacentral:ncRNA from 1 species
UAUCUGAUUGAUUCUGUCAGCGCUAUAUGCUUACGUAAAAGACUAAGCCAUGCAUGUACUGUUCAACUAACGGUGAAACUGCGAACGGCUCAUUAGAGCAGAUAUCAUUUAUUCGGUAAUAUUUUUGGAUAACUGCGGUAAUUCUGGAGCUAAUACAUGCAUCAAUGCCCCAACUUCGGAAGGGGUGCAAUUAUUAGAACAGACCAAUCGUCCUUGGACGUAGUUUGUUGACUCUGAAUAACGCAGCAUAUCGGCGGCUAGUCCGACUGAUAAUCCGAGAAAGUGUCUGCCCUAUCAACCUGAUGGUAGUCUAUUAGUCUACCAUGGUUAUCACGGGUAACGGAGAAUAAGGGUUCGACUCCGGAGAGGGAGCCUUAGAAACGGCUACCACAUCCUAAGGAAGGCAGCAGGCGCGUAACUUAUCCACUCCU